rnacentral:rRNA from 1 species
UACGUAGGGUGCGAGCGUUGUCCGGAAUUAUUGGGCGUAAAGAGCUCGUAGGCGGUUUGUCGCGUCGACUGUGAAAACUGGGGGCUUAACUCUCAGCUUGCAGUUGAUACGGGCAGACUUGAGUGCGGUAGGGGAGAUCGGAAUUCCUGGUGUAGCGGUGAAAUGCGCAGAUAUCAGGAGGAACACCGGUGGCGAAGGCGGAUCUCUGGGCCGUAACUGACGCUGAGGAGCGAAAGCAUGGGUAGCGAACAGG